CGGGGGGAGCAAGCGUUGUUCGGAUUUACUGGGCGUAAAGGGCGCGCAGGCGGCCACCGCAAGUCGACUGUGAAAUCUCCGGGCUUAACCCGGAAAGGUCAGCCGAUACUGCGGGGCUAGAGUGCAGAAGGGGCAACUGGAAUUCUCGGUGUAGCGGUGAAAUGCGUAGAUAUCGAGAGGAACACCUGCGGCGAAGGCGGGUUGCUGGGCUGACACUGACGCUGAGGCGCGAAAGCUAGGGGAGCGAACGGGAUUAGAUACCCCGGUAGUCCUAGCCUUAAACGAUGAAUGCUUGGUGUCUGGGGUUUUAUAGUCCCCCGGGUGCCGUCGCUAACGCUUUAAGCAUUCCGCCUGGGGAGUACGGUCGCAAGACUG
rnacentral:rRNA from 1 species